rnacentral:lncRNA from 1 species
CAUAGAAUAACCCUAUAAUUGGUUUUAAGUGUUUUUAUUCAACAAAUUUUCCCUUAGGUGUUGCUUAUGAAUUCAAGCUUAUAAGCAAUAUAUAAUACAUUUCUAUUGUAUAGCUUAUGACUUUCAAAAGAUUGAGCACCCAUGUUUAUAAUAUAGUAUCAGCUAUUUCAGAUCCCAACAUGUUUUUAGUUUCUGAAUAGUGAAAAUUUCAGAUAUGGUUAUCAAUAGAGCCUGCCUUAGGACAAUCCAACUUAUAUGGCCACAUUGGGCCUCACACUUCAACAGGCUAAAAUCAAAAAAAGACCAAGGACCUAGUUUAUUUGCAUCAAAAAAUAUUAUGGCAAUCAAUGAGAUACUUAUAGAUACAUGUAAGUCUAUAAACAAACUGCUAGACCACUUUGAAAAUAUAGUAACGUAAAUGACAGCACUACUGAGCAGUAUUUGAGGACAAAUAACUUUAAUGUCUUCUUUGUAGACAUUAAAGUAUUCGUUUCCCAGUGCUGUUUAGUAGUGCUUUUAUUUACAUUACUAUAUUUAGAAUUAUCAUCUUUAAUAUCUUUUUAAACAAAAUAUUAAGAAAUAAUGUUAUGCACACAAUAACUUUUUCAUAUAAUUUUUCUAACAUUAUCUAUGCAAACAUGAAUCCUUGUUCAGAAAUUCUUUCUGAAAAUCACAUUGGUCUAGAAUAAUGCCAACAAAUUUAUUGGGCUAGGAUCUUGAUCAAAUUUAUUGGGCUAGGAUCUUGAUCAAAUUUAUUGGGUAAAAUUUUAGCCCAAUAAAUUUGGUUUAGAAUAAUGCCAGUAGACCUAGAAGGGGAAAUAUAUCUAUUUUUUUAAAGAAUUUUCUUUCCCAAGAACACUGUCUAGAAUUCUACAAUCUACAAUACUUUUUAAUCCUCAAGACUAUAGUUUUAUGAUGAUUUUGCUUUGUUAUAAUAAAUAUACAUAUUUACAAAGGUAACUGAGAUUAAAAAAUUGUUCAUUAAUAAAUCAAAAUUUCUCAAAUCAAAGCCUUGUUUCCCAUUAACUCCUAUAUAAAAUUUCCAGUUUGUUCUCGGAUAUCAGAAAGUCACCAGCAUUUUAUUUGUUGAAGCAUUCUAAAAGUAUCUAUAUUUUGAAUGUC